rnacentral:misc_RNA from 1 species
AAGUCGUAACAAGGUAACCGUAGGUGAACCUGCGGUUGGAUCAUUAACAAAUUGAAAGAUCUUCAAGAUCUCUCUAACACUUUGUGAACUGUAAAUGUCUCUUGCGUGUCUUAGGACACGCACCUUUUAAACCUUUGCCUAACACUUUUGUCUAGAAACAGUAAUUAAAACAACUUUUGACAACGGAUCUCUAGGCUCUCA